rnacentral:rRNA from 1 species
CAGCCGCCGCGGUAAUACGAAGGGUGCAAGCGUUACUCGGAAUUACUGGGCGUAAAGCGUGCGUAGGUGGUGGUUUAAGUCCGUUGUGAAAGCCCUGGGCUCAACCUGGGAAUUGCAGUGGAUACUGGGUCACUAGAGUGUGGUAGAGGAUAGUGGAAUUUCCGGUGUAGCAGUGAAAUGCGUAGAGAUCGGAAGGAACAUCUGUGGCGAAGGCGACUAUCUGGGCCAACACUGACACUGAGGCACGAAAGCGUGGGGAGCAAACAGGAUUAGAUACCCCAGUAGUCCCUGUCUCUUACAA